rnacentral:rRNA from 1 species
UACGGAGGAUGCAAGCGUUAUCCGGAUUUAUUGGGUUUAAAGGGUGCGUAGGCGGAUGAAUAAGUCAGUGGUGAAAGGCUGCAGCUUAACUGUAGACUUGCCGUUGAUACUGUUUAUCUUGAGUAUGGUCAAGGCAGGCGGAAUGUGUAAUGUAGCGGUGAAAUGCUUAGAUAUUACACAGAACACCGAUUGCGAAGGCAGCUUGCUGGGCCAUUACUGACGCUGAUGCACGAAAGCGUGGGGAGCGAACAGGAUUAGAAACCCUAGUAGUCC